rnacentral:rRNA from 1 species
UACGGGAGGCAGCAGUGGGGAAUAUUGCACAAUGGGCGCAAGCCUGAUGCAGCCAUGCCGCGUGUAUGAAAAGGCCUUCGGGUUGUAAAGUACUUUCAGUCGUGAGGAAGGUGUUAAGGUUAAUAACCUUAGCAAUUGACGUUAGCGACAGAAGAAGCACCGGCUAACUCCGUGCCAGCAGCCGCGGUAAUACGGAGGGUGCGAGCGUUAAUCGGAAUUACUGGGCGUAAAGGGCACGCAGGCGGUUAAUUAAGUUGGAUGUGAAAUCCCCGGGCUUAACCUGGGAAUGGCAUUCAAGACUGGUUAGCUAGAGUCUUGUAGAGGGGGUAGAAUUCCAUGUGUAGCGGUGAAAUGCGUAGAGAUGUGGAGGAAUACCGGUGGCGAAGGCGGCCCCUGGACAAAGACUGACGCUCAUGUGCGAAAGCGUGGGGAGCAAA